AGUGAACGCUGGCGGUAUGCCUAACACAUGCAAGUCGAACGGCCGCACAGUAAGAGCUUGCUCUUACGGGUGGCGAGUGGCGGACGGGUGAGGAAUACAUCGGAAUCUACUUUUUCGUGGGUGAUAACGUAGGGAAACUUACGCUAAUACCGCAUACGACCUACGGGUGAAAGCAGGGGAUCUUCGGACCUUGCGCGACUGAAUGAGCCGAUGUCGGAUUAGCUAGUUGGCGAGGUAAAGGCCCACCAAGGCGACGAUCCGUAGCUGGUCUGAGAGGAUGAUCAGCCACACUGGAACUGAGACACGGUCCAGACUCCUACGGGAGGCAGCAGUGGGGAAUAUUGGACAAUGGGCGCAAGCCUGAUCCAGCCAUACCGCGUGGGUGAAGAAGGCCUUCGGGUUGUAAAGCCCUUUUGUUAGGGAAGAAAAGCAGCAGGUUAAUACCCCGCUGUUCUGACGGUACCCAAAGAAAAAGCACCGGCUAACUUCGUG
rnacentral:rRNA from 1 species